AUUGAACGCUGGCGGCAGGCCUAACACAUGCAAGUCGGACGGUAGCACAGAGGAGCUUGCUCCUCGGGUGACGAGUGGCGGACGGGUGAGUAAUGUCUGGGGAUCUGCCCGAUAGAGGGGGAUAACCACUGGAAACGGUGGCUAAUACCGCAUAACGUCGCAAGACCAAAGAGGGGGACCUUCGGGCCUCUCACUAUCGGAUGAACCCAGAUGGGAUUAGCUAGUAGGCGGGGUAAUGGCCCACCUAGGCGACGAUCCCUAGCUGGUCUGAGAGGAUGACCAGCCACACUGGAACUGAGACACGGUCCAGACUCCUACGGGAGGCAGCAGUGGGGAAUAUUGCACAAUGGGCGCAAGCCUGAUGCAGCCAUGCCGCGUGUAUGAAGAAGGCCUUCGGGUUGUAAAGUACUUUCAGCGGGGAGGAAGGCGGUGAGGUUAAUAACCUUGCCGAUUGACGUUACCCGCAGAAGAAGCACCGGCUAACUCCGUGCCAGCCGCCGCCGUAA
rnacentral:rRNA from 1 species